GAUGAACGCUGGCGGCGUGCCUAAUACAUGCAAGUCGAGCGAACAGACGAGGAGCUUGCUCCUCUGACGUUAGCGGCGGACGGGUGAGUAACACAUGGAUAACCUACCUAUAAGACUGGGAUAACUUCGGGAAACCGGAGCUAAUACCGGAGAAUAUAUUGAACCGCAUGGUUCAAUAGUGAAAGACGGUUUUGCUGUCACGUAUAGAUGGAUCCGCGCCGCAUUAGCUAGUUGGUAAGGUAACGGCUUACCAAGGCGACGAUGCGUAGCCGACCUGAGAGGCUGAUAGGCCACACUGGAACUGAGACACGGUCCAGACUCCUACGGGAGGCAGCAGUAGGGAAUCUUCCGCAAUGGGCGAAAGCCUGACGGAGCAACGCCGCGUGAGUGAUGACGGUCUUCGGAUCGUAAAAAUCUGUUAUUAGGGAAGAACAAAUGUGUAAGUAACUAUGCACGUAUUGACGGUAACUAAUCAGAAAGCAACGGCUAACUACGUG
rnacentral:rRNA from 1 species